rnacentral:rRNA from 1 species
GACGAACGCUGGCGGCGUGCUUAACACAUGCAAGUCGAACGGUGAAGCCUUUCGGGGUGGAUCAGUGGCGAACGGGUGAGUAACACGUGGGCAAUCUGCCCUGCACUCUGGGACAAGCCCUGGAAACGGGGUCUAAUACCGGAUAUGACUUCCUGCCGCAUGGUGGGGGGUGGAAAGCUCUGGUGGUGCAGGAUGAGCCCGCGGCCUAUCAGCUUGUUGGUGGGGUGAUGGCCUACCAAGGCGACGACGGGUAGCCGGCCUGAGAGGGCGACCGGCCACACUGGGACUGAGACACGGCCCAGGCUCCUACGGGGGGCAGCAGUGGGGAAUAUUGCACAAUGGGCGGAAGCCUGAUGCAGCGACGCCGCGUGGGGGAUGACGGCCUUCGGGUUGUAAACCUCUUUCAGCAGGGAAGAAGCGUGAGUGACGGUACCUGCAGAAGAAGCACCGGCUAACUACGUGCCAGCCGCCGCCGUAA